AUGUUAAUCAAGGAUACUUUAGACAGGCUAUCUAUGCUACCUGCCCGGGUAGAAGAGUUAAAGAGAUUUGCUGCAAGGGCUGGCGCUCUGACCGCACUAAGCCGGGCAAAAGCAUGGGUGCCUGAUCUUGAUCCGGCGGACGUGGCUAAAGGCUACCCAAGCUUAAAAGGAGACGGAUCAGAAUUUGGCAAUGAAGAUCUCCAUGCCAUAAACCGGGAAGUACGUCCACUGGCUUGUCAACUUGCUGAAGAGGCUGAUCUUUCAUUUUACCAGGCGAGUUAUGACACCAAUAACAAACGGGUUGCUGCACCGACUCCUGAGGCUCAAAACCUGAUCCCUCCAAUUCGUAAGCACACUUAUGCCCCUGACAUUGAACCGUCCACCCUUAUAAGCGAGGAAGCUGUGUUCCAAGCGUUAACUGGGAUCGACUGGACAACUAUUGACUUCCAGCCGCUGGCUAGAGACGAAGAGGAUGAACCGGUGCAAGAUGAUCCGUAG
rnacentral:rRNA from 1 species